GUCAUGUCUUCGGACCUCUGACACUUGAUAAAAUUGGAACGAUACAGAGAAGAUUAGCAUGGCCCCUGCGCAAGGAUGACACGUAAAUCUUGAAUGGCAACCUCUACGGAGGAAUUUUUUU
rfam:Smittium mucronatum strain ALG-7-W6 scaffold-25676, whole genome shotgun sequence.